GCAAGCGGCGCUCCCAUAGGUUUCGGGACUGACCGAGAUGGUAUGGGGAAGCCGGUGUGAUCCCGGCACGGCCGCGCCACUGUGAUGGACCGGGCAACCGCUCCACAGUCAGACCCCCAGCCAUCGACACCCCUGGACC
rfam:Actinokineospora spheciospongiae strain EG49 contig1277_2, whole genome shotgun sequence.